rnacentral:rRNA from 1 species
GACGAACGCUGGCGGCGUGCUUAACACAUGCAAGUCGAACGGAAAGGCCCUGCUUUUGUGGGGUGCUCGAGUGGCGAACGGGUGAGUAACACGUGAGUAACCUGCCCUUGACUUUGGGAUAACUUCAGGAAACUGGGGCUAAUACCGGAUAGGAGCUCCUGCUGCAUGGUGGGGGUUGGAAAGUUUCGGCGGUUGGGGAUGGACUCGCGGCUUAUCAGCUUGUUGGUGGGGUAGUGGCUUACCAAGGCUUUGACGGGUAGCCGGCCUGAGAGGGUGAACGGCCACCUGUGGACUGAGAUACGGCCCAGACUCCUACGGGAGGCAGCAGUGGGGAAUAUUGCACAAUGGGCGGAAGCCUGAUGCAGCAACGCCGCGUGCGGGAUGACGGCCUUCGGGUUGUAAACCGCUUUCGCCUGUGACGAAGCGUGAGUGACGGUAAUGGGUAAAGAAGCACCGGCUAACUACGUG